GUGCCAGCAGCCGCGGUAAGACGUAGGGAGCGAGCGUUGUCCGGAUUCAUUGGGCGUAAAGCGCGCGUAGGCGGUUUGGUAAGUCGGAUGUGAAAUCCCGAGGCUCAACCUCGGGACUGCAUCCGAUACUGCCCGACUAGAGGUAGGUAGGGGAGAUCGGAAUUCCUGGUGUAGCGGUGAAAUGCGCAGAUAUCAGGAGGAACACCGGUGGCGAAGGCGGAUCUCUGGGCCUUACCUGACGCUGAGGCGCGAAAGCUAGGGGAGCGAACAGGAUUAGAAACCCCCGUAGUCC
rnacentral:rRNA from 1 species